CGAAACGGUCCCAUUUGGUUAACCAAGAGAUGGUCCAUAUACAGCAACCUAAGUCCAAAAUGAGGUCAAGGUCAAGGUCAAACUGAGGUCAGGUGAUGUCUGAAGAUGAGGAAUGGUCACAGGUUACAUCUGCAUUAGUAUCAAGUCAUUCUAGUAAGGGGUAUUGAUGCUAGACGAAACGGUCCCAUUUGGUUAACCUCGUACGGACGGACGAACGGACGGACAGGACGAUCACUAUAUGCCUCCCGCAUCAGUAGAUGCUGGGGGCAUAAAAA